UACAGAGGGGGCAAGCGUUGUCCGGAAUUAUUGGGCGUAAAGAGCUCGUAGGCGGUCUGUCGCGUCUGCUGUGAAAAUCCAGGGCUCAACCCUGGACCUGCAGUGGGUACGGGCAGACUAGAGUGCGGUAGGGGAGAUCGGAAUUCCUGGUGUAGCGGUGAAAUGCGCAGAUAUCAGGAGGAACACCGGUGGCGAAGGCGGAUCUCUGGGCCGUAACUGACGCUGAGGAGCGAAAGCAUGGGGAGCGAACAGG
rnacentral:rRNA from 1 species